rnacentral:rRNA from 1 species
GUGGGGAAUAUUGCACAAUGGGCGCAAGCCUGAUGCAGCAACGCCGCGUGAGGGAUGACGGCCUUCGGGUUGUAAACCUCUUUUAGUAGGGAAGAAGCGAAAGUGACGGUACCUGCAGAAAAAGCACCGGCUAACUACGUGCCAGCAGCCGCGGUAAUACGUAGGGUGCAAGCGUUGUCCGGAAUUAUUGGGCGUAAAGAGCUCGUAGGCGGCUUGUCGCGUCUGCUGUGAAAUCCCGGAGCUCAACUCCGGGCCUGCAGUGGGUACGGGCAGGCUAGAGUGCGGUAGGGGAGAUUGGAAUUCCUGGUGUAGCGGUGGAAUGCGCAGAUAUCAGGAGGAACACCGAUGGCGAAGGCAGAUCUCUGGGCCGCUACUGACGCUGAGGAACGAAAGCAUGGGGAGCGAACAGGAUUAGAUACCCCAGUAGUCC